GUCCUUUUCAAUUUGGUAAAUAAUUAUAAACAAAGAAGCUGAUACAAACAGCCUACACGAACAGAAAUAUAGAAUCUACUUAAGAGAAAUUUAAGGACACUGUACUCUGUUCUGUAAGACCAAAUCGGGAAAGAUACUUUCACUUCUGUAUAUAACACUACAUACAAUGGAAGUUAAGAAGAGGCAAUCAAGCUUAUAUGAGGUGUUGGCCCCCAAAAUACUUCCUAAUAAAUCUCCUGCAUGAAAUCACCAUCUCAAAGUGUACCUUCUGGAGAAUACAGUGUUUGGAAAGCAGUAAGUCAUGGCUAAAUACAGCAAUAUGCUCUGGAGUUCACUUGGAUACUUCCCUAGGCAAAAGGCAAGUCCAAUUAUGGAUAAACAUGGCUAGACUACGAGCUCAACAUCAAGAAAAGCCAUUUCACCUAUGUAACCAACUAACCUAGAUGACCAAGCCUAAUUAUAGAGUUUUCAUUCAAAACCACUUUGUGCUUGGUAGACACUAAAUUGAAGCAAGGCAGCAAGUGGGUCUCACAGCCAGUCCCUCAAAGACGUAUCAAAAGCAGGAACUUCUUAAAACACUAGAAACUGAACUAGUACUUUACAACCCAUCAGCAAACUAAAGACGGGGAAGACCACACAAAGAUUAUUCACCUUAAUCAAAAACAUGGGACCAGCUCAGCAGCUCAUCACCACAGAAAAUAGAUGAAUGGAAAGAAAAUGGCUGCUCUAGACACGAGGCAAUUUCUGGAAAUCAGGAUGGUGACAUUGGAGAAGAAACUGAAGAUUCUUGGAGAAAUAUUAACUUCAUCUCAGUAAAAUGGAAGGCUUGCCAUGUUUCUCCUGUGGCUUUGACUACUCCUGGCACAUUGUACCUGCAACUUCCCUGCCUGGCCCUCACCCUGAGGCACAAAGACUCCAGUUUGAAAAGUGUGAGAUUAACAAAUAGAUUUUGUUCUCUUUACCAAAAUUUUAUUAUAUAGCUUAUUCUAUAUAAUGACAAGGUAACUGCAUUUUCUUCCACCAGUAAAUGUUUUCCAAAUAUCAAAUAAUUUGCUGCAUUCAUUUUAGCAGAGAUCAACUAAACUUACCCUCACAUUGAUCACUAUCAAUGUGAAACUUAGGGAAGCCUACAAUGUAAAGACUAGAUAUAAUUGUUGACUCUAGGUUUUAAAAAACUAUAUGUAGGGAUUUUUUAUUUUAUUGUAGUGUUACUCAAAUAAUUUUAGGCACUGGGAUUAGAUUUCUUUCAGUAAGUUUUAUUAUAUAUAUAGCACAGGCUGUCAUUAGCUUAGACUGGAAAAACCAUGGGUUUCUAAGUUUUAUGCAUCCAAUAGUCCUAUAAGAUAGGCACUCUUGUUGUUCAAGUGCCAAAAUCAAGACUUAAUAAUAAUGAAUAAUUUUUUUAGUUAUAAGCACUUUUGCUCCCAACUCAUUUGUUUCUAAAGUUCUUAAUGCUUUACAUACAUGAGUAACUUGAUUCUCACUAAAACCAUAUGAAGUAAGUAUUACUAUUGAUAUGGUUUGGCUGUGUCCCCGCCAAAUCUCAUCUUGAAUUGUAGUUCCCAUAAUCCCCACGUGUCCUGAGAGGGACCAGAUGGAGGUAAUUUAAUCAUGGGCCGGUUUCCCCAUCCUGUUCUCAUGAUAGUGAGUUAGUUCUUAUGAGAUCUGAUGGUUUUAUAAGGGGCUUCCCCCUUUGCUGGUCUCUCAUUCUUCUCCUUUCUGCCACCAUGUGAAGAAGGACGUGUUUGCUUCCCCUUCUGCCAUGAUUGUAAUUUUCCUGAAGGCCUCCCCAGCCAUCCUGAGCUGUGAGCCAAUUAAAUCUCUUUUCUUUAUAAGUUACCAAGUCUUGGGUAUGACUUUUUUAACAGCAUGAGAAUGGAUUAAUACAAUUAUAAUCUUGUUGUAGUCCUUUUUACUAUGUUUGCUAUUUUUCCAUAAGUUUGAAAUUAUUUAGAAAUAAGAAGUAAAUUUUUUAUUAUAAAUAUAUAGGAGCACAACACAUAUUGGAAAAAUUAAGAUAUAACUGACAUCACUUGCUGUGAUGCAUGACAACUAUUAAUUUUCCCUUGGUUUUCUAAGGUUAUUAGAAUUUUCAACAUUUUAAACUUUCCUUAUUAUUAAAGCAAAAACUAAAUAUUUGCAAGCUAUUCCACUAAGACGGCAGUAUAAUUCUCAUUAUAAUGAAUAGUGUAAACAAGAAAAUUCCUAUAUGCCUUUCUGAUUCUAAUUUUACAGUUAAUUUGUUCAUUUAUUCACUUGGUCAACAAAGAGUUAAAUAAU
rnacentral:lncRNA from 10 species